CAAUCAAACUUGUAGUUAAAUUUCCUUUCAACUUGACUACAAUUUGACAGAAAUACUUGUACAGCAAGUUUUGACGUCUAUUUGCAGAGUAAGUUAUAGGUAAUCGCUCGCUUUGCCAACUCUUUCCGUCAAGUUUGCUUCAAAUUGCGGACGUAGAUUGACAGUAAGUUAUAG